rnacentral:rRNA from 1 species
AUUGGACGCUGGCGGCAUGCUUUACACAUGCCAGUCGAACGGCAGCGCGGGCUUCGGCCUGGCGGCGAGUGGCGAACGGGUGAGUAAUACAUCGGAACGUGCCCAGUAGUGGGGGAUAGCUCGGCGAAAGCCGGAUUAAUACCGCAUACGACCUGAGGGUGAAAGCGGGGGAUCUUCGGACCUCGCGCUAUUGGAGCGGCCGAUGGCAGAUUAGCUAGUUGGUGGGGUAAAGGCCUACCAAGGCGACGAUCUGUAGCUGGUCUGAGAGGACGACCAGCCACACUGGGACUGAGACACGGCCCAGACUCCUACGGGAGGCAGCAGUGGGGAAUUUUGGACAAUGGGCGAAAGCCUGAUCCAGCAAUGCCGCGUGUGUGAUGAAGGCCUUCGGGUUGUAAAGCACUUUUGGCGGGAACGAAAAGGACUGUGCCAAUACCACGGUUCGAUGACGGUACCCGCAGAAUAAGCACCGGCUAACUACGUG